AACACUCCUGCGGGAGGCAGCAGUGGGGAAUAUUGGACAAUGGGCGCAAGCCUGAUCCAGCCAUGCCGCGUGAGUGAUGAAGGCCCUAGGGUUGUAAAGCUCUUUCACCGGUGAAGAUAAUGACGGUAACCGGAGAAGAAGCCCCGGCUAACUUCGUGCCAGCAGCCGCGGUAAUACGAAGGGGGCUAGCGUUGUUCGGAUUUACUGGGCGUAAAGCGCACGUAGGCGGACUAUUAAGUCAGGGGUGAAAUCCCGGGGCUCAACCCCGGAACUGCCUUUGAUACUGGUAGUCUUGAGUUCGAGAGAGGUGAGUGGAAUUCCGAGUGUAGAGGUGAAAUUCGUAGAUAUUCGGAGGAACACCAGUGGCGAAGGCGGCUCACUGGCUCGAUACUGACGCUGAGGUGCGAAAGCGUUGGGAGCAAACAGGAUUAGAUACCCCGGUAGUCCC
rnacentral:rRNA from 1 species